rnacentral:rRNA from 1 species
AACGAACGCUGGCGGCAUGCCUAACACAUGCAAGUCGAACGGAACGUUCGUGUCUAGUGGCGCACGUCUACGUAACGAGUGGGAACCUACCCUUAGGUUCCGUAUAACUGCCCGUGGGGGAUGCUAAUACCAGUUAAUGUAUUCGGGCCAAAGAUUUAUGGCUUUAGGAUGGGCACGCGUUGGAUUAGCUAGUUGGUAGUGUACAAGCCUACCAACGCGAGGUUCCAUGGCUGGUCUGAGAGGAUGCCCUGCCACACUGGGACUGCGACACGGACUAGACCCCUAGGGGAGGGAGCAGUGUGGAAUACUAGACAAGGGGCGAAAGUCUGAUAAAGCAAUGCCGCGUGAGUGAGGAAGGGGUUAGGGUUGCAAAUCCGUUUGAAACGGGACGAUAAUGACAGUACCGGGAGAAGAAGCACCGGCUAACUCCGUG